UGUAGUCAUAUGCUUGUCUCAAAGAUUAAGCCAUGCAUGUCUAAGUUUAAGCAAUUAAACCGCGAAACUGCGAAUGGCUCAUUAAAUCAGUUAUAGUUUAUUUGAUAGUACCUUACUACAUGGAUAACCGUGGUAAUUCUAGAGCUAAUACAUGCUAAAAACCCCGACUUCGGAAGGGGUGUAUUUAUUAGAUUAAAAACCAAUGCCCUUCGGGGCUAACUGGUGAUUCAUAAUAACUUCUCGAAUCGCAUGGCCUUGCGCUGGCGGUGGUUCAUUCAAAUUUCUGCCCUAUCAACUUUCGACGGCUGGGUCUUGGCCAGCCAUGGUGACAACGGGUAACGGGGAAUG
rnacentral:rRNA from 1 species